rnacentral:lncRNA from 1 species
AUUAAUGUAUUUCUAAGGCCCAGACCAGUGAGGGCAAGCCUUUUAGGGUUUUCAGUGACAUGAACAGCCCGCUCGGGCGCAUCUGCUGUGAGUUCGCCACCACUGGUCCAGGUGAUGAACUCAUAGAGGCUGAACAUGGGAACUCAGUAGGGGAAUGUGAAGAUGACCACAUGUUGAUAUUUUGAGAUCACAUGAAGUAUUUUUGCGGGGAGGUUUUACUAGAAGUAGACGAGGGAUAGAGGGAAAUUAUGUGGCUUCACCAGCAGAAGCCACAGCUACCUGUAAGCAGCCAUCUGCAGCUGAGUGGGGUAGAACAACCUUGUGCCUUCCGUACAUCAUCAUCAUCAUCAUCAGCAGCAGCAGCAGGAGCAGCAGCAGCAGUGUUCUCUGUCACCUUUCAUCAUCAAAGGCAGUGGCCAUGAAGAAAGAGAUGGAUGACUUUGCUUUGAUGGAACCGAGAGUCUGUGUAAAACUGUGGAUGAGGCUCCCACCGGGGUUCCACCAGUGGCAAAGUUUUUGGGGCCUGAGCUGAACAAUUCUGCUUGCUUCUGAUGGAUCUCCCCAGAAGCCACUGUGGGCCACAUGUGUACUUGAGAUUUAUGGUUGUUUACUUGGGAAGCAAAUUUUCAUAUGAAACAGGAAAAGAAUUUUUCAUGUAAAGAAUAAAUAUUUGUGUUUGGGAUGGAGAAGCAAAUGUCUUCCUGAGCCCAGUUUCUGCUGCUGGCUGGCUUCAGUGUCUGCUACACGAUAAUAACUCACAUUCACGGACUAACAGAAGGCUCUAUGCUCAGCACAGAAGCGUCAUUUCUUUUUAAAAUCCCCGUAAAACAUACUGUUAUUAUCUGCAUUUGAAGGAUGGGAAGACAGGACUACAAAGGUGGAGGAAUUUUCCUGAGGUUCCCUGGCCGGUCGAUGGCAACUCUGAGUUUUAAACAUGGGAGUUCCCCAGACAUGAGUUUAGUCUGCGCUGUCCUGUUUGGCCUGUAGCUUUCAGAGACAUCUUCAUCUCAGUCCGAUUUUAAAAGUAGGCUCCAAUUUUUGGGCUCAGACAUACCUCUAAAUUUCUCUUCAGUGGGGGCUGAGAAUCACAAGGUCAGUAUUGCUAUUUUGUAGCAAGUCCUGCUGUCUUGUGCUAGCCGCAGGGGAUACUCCAGGAAGGGCAUCAGAUGAUUGGACUGCUCUCUUUUAGCAUUUCUAUUUCAUAUGUGCUGCUGGGGAAAUGCGGCCUUGUAUGAGAGAGGACCCGUGGCUUUUUGGUGUUUCACAGUUGACGUCUCAAAGACAGAGGGAAUGGAGAGCUGAACAGAGUCUGUGAAUCCCCGCUUGUUGGAGGAAAAUGUCAUCAUUUAUUAAGAAGGCAUAAGUUGCAAAUAAACCAUCCUGGGAGUUUCAAAAACCGUUUCCCUGAUGGGCAUGGUGGCAUACAUACGCAAUCGCAGCCCUUGGGAGGCCGAGGCAGGAGGAUCGCUGGGAGUUUGAGGCCAGCCUGGGCUACACAGUGAGUUCAAGACCAGCUUGAAGUACAUAAGGAGACUCUAUAUCAAAAAAGGGAGAAAAAUUUCCCCUCUUAUUUCUUAUUUAAAUCAAUUCUUUGAAAUUAUCCCCACCAGAGACUUUUCCGACACUCUAGUGAAUAGAGUAAAUGAUUAAAC